rnacentral:rRNA from 1 species
UUAGAACGCGAGGGGGGGACGGGUGAGUAACACGUGGGUAACCUGCCUAAAAGAAGGGGAUAACACUUGGAAACAGGUGCUAAUACCGUAUAUCUCUAAGGAUCGCAUGAUCCUUAGAUGAAAGAUGGUUCUGCUAUCGCUUUUAGAUGGACCCGCGGCGUAUUAACUAGUUGGUGGGGUAACGGCCUACCAAGGUGAUGAUACGUAGCCGAACUGAGAGGUUGAUCGGCCACAUUGGGACUGAGACACGGCCCAAACUCCUACGGGAGGCAGCAGUAGGGAAUCUUCCACAAUGGACGCAAGUCUGAUGGAGCAACGCCGCGUGAGUGAAGAAGGUCUUCGGAUCGUAAAACUCUGUUGUUAGAGAAGAACACGAGUGAGAGUAACUGUUCAUUCGAUGACGGUAUCUAACCAGCAAGUCACGGCUAACUACGUGCCAGCAGCCGCGGUAAUACGUAGGUGGCAAGCGUUGUCCGGAUUUAUUGGGCGUAAAGGGAACGCAGGCGGUCUUUUAAGUCUGAUGUGAAAGCCUUCGGCUUAACCGGAGUAGUGCAUUGGAAACUGGAAGACUUGAGUGCAGAAGAGGAGAGUGGAACUCCAUGUGUAGCGGUGAAAUGCGUAGAUAUAUGGAAGAACACCAGUGGCGAAAGCGGCUCUCUGGUCUGUAACUGACGCUGAGGUUCGAAAGCGUGGGUAGCAAACAGGAUUAGAUACCCUGGUAGUCCACGCCGUAAACGAUGAAUGCUAGGUGUUGGAGGGUUUCCGCCCUUCAGUGCCGCAGCUAACGCAAUAAGCAUUCCGCCUGGGGAGUACGACCGCAAGGUUGAAACUCAAAGGAAUUGACGGGGGCCCGCACAAGCGGUGGAGCAUGUGGUUUAAUUUGAAGCAACGCGAAGAACCUUACCAGGUCUUGACAUCCUUUGACCACCUAAGAGAUUAGGUUUUCCCUUCGGGGACAAAGUGACAGGUGGUGCAUGGCUGUCGUCAGCUCGUGUCGUGAGAUGUUGGGUUAAGUCCCGCAACGAGCGCAACCCUUGUUGUCAGUUGCCAGCAUUAAGUUGGGCACUCUGGCGAGACUGCCGGUGACAAACCGGAGGAAGGUGGGGACGACGUCAAGUCAUCAUGCCCCUUAUGACCUGGGCUACACACGUGCUACAAUGGACGGUACAACGAGUCGCGAGACCGCGAGGUUUAGCUAAUCUCUUAAAGCCGUUCUCAGUUCGGAUUGUAGGCUGCAACUCGCCUACAUGAAGUCGGAAUCGCUAGUAAUCGCGAAUCAGCAUGUCGCGGGGAAUACGUUCCCCGGGCCCCUCGUCCACUCCCUCCCCCUCCCCUCCGCCCAUGGCAGGGAAA